rnacentral:rRNA from 1 species
GAUGAACGCUGGCGGCGUGCCUAAUACAUGCAAGUCGAGCGAACUGAUUAGAAGCUUGCUUCUAUGACGUUAGCGGCGGACGGGUGAGUAACACGUGGGCAACCUGCCUGUAAGACUGGGAUAACUUCGGGAAACCGACGCUAAUACCGGAUAGGAUCUUCUCCUUCAUGGGAGAUGAUUGAAAGAUGGUUUCGGCUAUCACUCACAGAUGGGCCCGCGGUGCAUUAGCUAGUUGGUGAGGUAACGGCUCACCAAGGCAACGAUGCAUAGCCGACCUGAGAGGGUGAUCGGCCACACUGGGACUGAGACACGGCCCAGACUCCUACGGGAGGCAGCAGUAGGGAAUCUUCCGCAAUGGACGAAAGUCUGACGGAGCAACGCCGCGUGAGUGAUGAAGGCUUUCGGGUCGUAAAACUCUGUUGUUAGGGAAGAACAAGUACAAGAGUAACUGCUUGUACCUUGACGGUACCUAACCAGAAAGCCACGGCUAACUACGUGCCAGCAGCCGCCGUAAAAC